rnacentral:rRNA from 1 species
AGUGAACGCUGGCGGUAGGCCUAACACAUGCAAGUCGAACGGCAGCACAGUAAGAGCUUGCUCUUACGGGUGGCGAGUGGCGGACGGGUGAGGUAUACAUCGGAAUCUACUUUUUCGUGGGGGAUAACGUAGGGAAACUUACGCUAAUACCGCAUACGACCUACGGGUGAAAGCAGGGGAUCUUCGGACCUUGCGCGAAUGAAUGAGCCGAUGUCGGAUUAGCUAGUUGGCGGGGUAAAGGCCCACCAAGGCGACGAUCCGUAGCUGGUCCGAGAGGAUGAUCGGCCGCACUGGAACUGAGACACGGUCCAGACUCCUACGGGAGGCAGCAGUGGGGAAUAUUGGACAGUGGGCGCGAGCCUGAUCCAGCCAGACCGCGUGGGUGAAGAAGACCUUCGGGUUGUGAAGCCCUUUUGUUGGGAAAGAAAAGCAGCAGGUUAAGACCCAGCUGUUCUGACGGUACCCAAAGAAUAAGCACCGGCUAACUUCGUG